GAUGAACGCUGGCGGCGUGCCUAAUACAUGCAAGUCGAGCGAACGGACGAGAAGCUUGCUUUUCUGAUGUUAGCGGCGGACGGGUGAGUAACACGUGGAUAACCUACCUAUAAGACUGGGAUAACUUCGGGAAACCGGAGCUAAUACCGGAUAAUAUUUUGAACCGCAUGGUUCAAAAGUGAAAGACGGUCUUGCUGUCACUUAUAGAUGGAUCCGCGCUGCAUUAGCUAGUUGGUAAGGUAACGGCUUACCAAGGCAACGAUGCAUAGCCGACCUGAGAGGGUGAUCGGCCACACUGGAACUGAGACUCGGUCCAGACUCCUACGGGAGGCAGCAGUAGGGAAUCUUCCGCAAUGGGCGAAAGCCUGACGGAGCAACGCCGCGUGAGUGAUGAAGGUCUUCGGAUCGUAAAACUCUGUUAUUAGGGAAGAACAUAUGUGUAAGUAACUGUGCACAUCUUGACGGUACCUAAUCAGAAAGCCACGGCUAACUACGU
rnacentral:rRNA from 1 species